rnacentral:lncRNA from 1 species
UGGUGGCGGUGAUGGGAACAAACACAGACAUACAAACAUAUAUAUAUAUGUCAGAUGAGCUUCUUUCAGUUUCUGUCUACGAAAUCCACUCACAAGGCAUUGGUCGGCCCGAGGCUACUGUAGAAUACAUUUUCCCAAGGUGCCAUGCAGUGAGAUUGAACCCGGAACCAUAUGGUAGGUAAGCAAGCCACUUACCACACAGCUACCCCUGCUCCUAUAUAUAUAUAUAUAUAUAUAUAUAUAUAUAUAUAUAUAUAUAUAUUUCAUUAUUGUUAUUAUUAUUAUUAUUAUUAUUAUUAUUAUUAUUAUUAUUAUUAUUAUUAUUAUUAUCACCUUUUCUUUCAAACUUUUUCCCAGUCAUUUUUCCUUUUCCCGAGCGUCAAACUAAUACACUUGAUUGUCGUUCCUACACCUGUCCUCGUCUUUUGUUUUUCUAUAAAUUUCACCUGCCUUCGUCUUUUGUCUAUUUUCAUAAAGCUUCCCGUUAUAUAUAUAUAUAUACAUACAUAUAUAUAUAUAUAUAUAUAUAUAUAUAUAUAUAUAUAUAUAUGUACAUGUAUAUAUAUAUAUAUAUAUAUAUAUAUAUAUAUAUAUAUAUAUAUAUAUAUAUAUAUAUAUAUAUAUAUAUAUAUAUAUAUAUAUAUAUAACGGGAAGCUUUAUGAAAAUAGACAAAAGACGAAGGCAGGUGGAAAACAAACGAACAAUUGUAUUAGUAUGGCGCUCAGGAAAUAUAAAUAAAACAAGUCUUUAACGUUUCGAGCCUACGCUCUUCAACAGAAAGAUACACAGAGAGAAAAAAAACACAGAAAGAAGGAGAGAAAAAAAUGCGUGCAGUAGCUAACGAAUCAACAUGGCGAUCUGAUUUCGGCCAGAGGUCAAAGAUCAAACAUGAGACGCGAGAGCGAAAUAAGGGGAGAUAAUAGGGUUGAUAAUAGGGUUGAUAAUAGGGUUGAAGGACCAGCUAAGAGUGCGUAGGAGGGGUCUGGACGUGUGUAUGUAUCGGGUUGGUGUAUGUAUUAGUAUGUAUAAGGGUGUGUGUGUGUGUGUGUGUGUGUAUGAGAGAGUAUUAGUGCGUAGGAUUGGUCUGGACGUGCGUAUGUAUGGGGUUGGUGUAUGUAUUAGUAUGGCACAUCAUAUAUGAUGUGAUGUGUAAAGUCGUGUGGUGUAGUGAGGAGAAGAGGGGGAGGGGGAGAAGAGGGGGAGAAGGGGAGGGGAAGAAGAGGGGGAGGAGAGGGGGGAAGAGGAGAGGAUGGGGGAGAGAAAGGAGGGGGAGAAGGAAGGGGAGGAGGGGGAAGAAGGAGGAAAGAGGGAGAGGGGGAGAGAGAAGGGGAGUGAGGGAGUGAGGGAGCAGAGGGAAGGGGAAGAGGAAAGGAGGGAGGGAGAAAGAGGGAAGAAGGGAAGGGGAGUAGGGGUGAAAGGAUGAAGGACUGAAGAAGUAGGGGUCGGGGGGAAAGGAUAGGUGAGGAGGCGGGAGAGGGGGGUUAGAUGAGGAGGGGGGAGAGUUGAGACCAAAUGGCGUAUAAGAGCGAAGAGAGAAGAUUAAUUCCUGUUCACGGCGCAAACGGGAAUCCGGAUGGCCUCUGUGUAAGGACAAACCGAACACGGAUAGGUGUUGCAAGGAGUGACCGGUGGAGCGGAAAUGGCGUGAGACCGGUGUGUCGUUCGCAAGGUGGAUGUCACGAAGGUGUUCCGCGAACCGGUCAGCCAAGCGGCGUCCCGUUUGUCCGAUGUACAAGGAAUUGCAGUAUGUAUAUAUAUAUAUGUAUAUAUAUAUACAUAUAUAUAUAUAUAUAUAUAUAUAUAUGUGUGUGUGUGUGUGUGUGUGUGUGUGUGUGUGUGUGUGUAUGUGGAGAGAGAGAGAGAGAUGAGGAAGUCAGAAUUUUGGAUAAUCCUUAAACAGCGCUUUCGCUCUUUUAUGAACUUGUCAGGACAAAAUCAAAAUCAAAAUACGAAAAGACAGAAUAUUUCGUUUUUCAUUUAUAUGAAACGGUUGUUUUUUUUUUUCGUUUGUUUUAUUUAGAAGAGGAGAAUAUCGAUUUUUUUCUUGAAAAGGGGACAGAAAGAGAAAGAAAAGCAAAAUGCGGGGGGUAACAGAGAGAGAAAGAGAGAGAGGGAGAUUUCAGGUCAAUGAAGAAGGAGAAAAAAAUAAGGAUAAUAAUAAAGGAUAGGAAAAGGAGAAAUAGAUAAAAUAGAUAGAUAGAUAGAUAGGGAGAAAGAGAGAGAGGGAGCGAGUGAGAGGGAAAGAAAGAGAGAGGCUUCUUUUCAUUUUGGUGUGGUCAAUUCAUUGAAAUUUCAUUUCUUUUUUUUCUCAUUUCUUUCAUUUUUUUUUCUUUUUACAUUGCAUACUUAUUAACAUAUUUGUAAAUAAACACAUUUUCUCACAAGGGCUGGUGACCUUUCAAAUGUGCCAAUUUUAGGAAGUAGGAUGGAAGAAAUAAGAAAGGGGGAAGGGUGUGGUCAUCACUGCAAAAUAAAAAAAGAGUUCAAAAUCCUAUGAGAAUGUAUUUUCUUCUACAAUUUAUAGCCAGGUCCCAUAUUCUGUGUAAUUCUAUAUUUUGCAUGAACAAACACUAAAUAUUCAUAAAUAAGGAAAAUAAGGUCAGAAUCACGAAUUCCCUUGCCUGGUAGGUACAUUAGAUAUCUUUCCUAAAAAUGCUUAUAGUAUUCUGUAUUCUUUUUCAGGUAUUGUAACAUCUAUAAGAACAGUUGUCAAAAUCCUUUGUUAUAUAUAUAUAUAUAUAUAUAUAUAUAUAUAUAUAUAUAUAUAUAUAUAUAUAUAUAUAUAUAUAUAUAUAUAUACAUUAGACUCCUCACUCAUAUAUAUAUAUAUAUAUAUAUAUAUAUAUAUAUAUAUAUAUAUUGUGUGUAUGUGUGCGUGUGUAAGCAAAAUAUGAACCACUGCAUGAAUCCAUUCUUCCUAAAAAACUUACUAAAAAUGACGAUACCCAUCGUUCCACCACUAGAUGUGAUAACAUAAAUAUUGGAAGCUAACGCAUGAAAUAUGUAUGUCUAUGUAUGUAUAUAUAUACAUACAUAUAUAUAUAUAUAUAUAUAUAUAUAUAUAUAUAUAUAUAUAUAUAUAUAUACAUAUAUAUUUAUACAUAUACAAGAUAAGAAAAUGGAGAUAUACAUCUAAAUCAAAUAUCAAUUACCAGAUAAUACUCAAUCACAUACUUUAUUAAACCACCACAUAAGAGACUGUAGGGUUAAAUAUAAAAAGCAGGAAAAAUCAGUGUACAUAAAGGAAUGUACAUAAAAAAGUGUACAUAAAAGAGUAAUGUUGUAUAAUAAGUAGAAUAUAUAUAUAAAAGAGAAUAUAAAUACAAGUAUAAAUUAGAUCUUACAGCUGUUUCGGCCAUGUCGAUAAGUAUGUCUCAUUUUACCAUACAUGUAUAUAUAUAUACACAUAUAUAUAUAUAUACAUAUAUAUAUAUAUACACAUAUAUAUAUAUAUAUAUAUAUAUAUUUAUAUAUAUAAAUAUAUAUAUAUAUAUCCUUUCAUAUAUUUUUCUUUUCUACACUCUCUAUAUUAUUGCUCCUAUUUUACUCUUAUUACCUUCUUAUACACUCUUUAAUAGGAAUAACGUACUGUACUUACUGGUAACUGAUUCUAUAUAUAUAUAUAUAUAUAUAUAUAUAUAUAUAUAUAUAUAUAUAUAUAUAUAUAUAUAUAUAUAUAUAUAUAUAUAUAUAUAUAUAUAUAUAUAUAUACUCAAGCCAACUAUGGCGAAUAACAUUCUGGAUCUCUGCUUCACGAACAAUAUGGACAUCAUUCAUGAUGUGAAAGUGACAUCGACAUCAGUUUCGGAUCACAACAUAAUAGAGCUGUCUAUGUUUGGGCCAAAAGUAACCAGAGACAUACAGCCUAAAGGAAGCACCCGAAAUCUCUCCAAUGUGAACUUCCACAAAGCAGAUUGGAAAUCGAUCCAAAAAGAGAUGCUCAGAGAGGACUGGCCGGAAUGUCUCUCCACACCAGACAUUGACAUGAAACUAGAAUGUUUCAUGUCUUCUGUGCAAGCCGUAUGCCAGAAACAUGUCCCAGAGCACAAGGCCAAAACAAAUAGGAGCAUGAUUCCAAGAGACAGGAAGAUCCUCAUGAGACAACGGAUGUAAGUUGCAAAUCGUCUCAACCAACAUCCCAAAAGUAGCAAAACGUCCCGCCUAAAAACAACACUGAUGGAGAUCGAAAAAAGGCUGCAACAAUCCUAUGUGAAGGAGAAAGCAGACAAAGAAGUCUGGGUUAUAAAAAAUAUUAAAUCAAACCCAAAGACCUUCUUUCAUUACGCGAAAGAAACAGUCUCAGUGCACUACAAGAUAGGACCCCUCCUCCAAAAGGAUGGCUCCCUCACAGACAGUCCAACUAAGAUCAGUGAGAUGCUGAAUGACCAGUUCAAAAGUGUCUUUACCACCCCGUUGAAACACAGACAAGUGAACGAACCGGUGGACUUCUUUGCCGCCUCACCUAUAACCAGCGAGGCGGUUACAAUAGAAUGUAUUGACAUUAGCGAAAAAGAUGUCCUACUAGCCAUAGAUGAAGUGGACACAAAAUCAGUUGCUGGUCCAGAUGGUUUCCCAGCCAUCCUCCUCAAAGCGUGUAAGCAUGCCCUGGCAAAAUCCCUCAAGAUUCUCUUCCAGAGCUUUCUUGCGAAUGGCAAACUGCCAAGCAAGCUGAAGGAGGGAAUAAUAUGCCCAAUACAUAAAGGCGGAAGUAGAGCAGAUGCCAAAAACUAUAGGCCUAUCUCUCUGACUUCACACAUCAGCAAAGUCACGGAACGGAUAGUCAGAAAGAAACUAAUCGCAUUCCUUGAGGAAAAUAACUUGCUGAGUGAUACCCAGCAUGGUUUUCGACUAGGUAGGAGCUGCCUGAUCCAGCUUUUACAGCAUUAUGACUGGGUGUUGGGGCAGUUAUUCAACAAACCAAAUGUGGACGUAAUCUACCUUGAUUUUGCAAAAGCUUUUGACAAGGUGGAUCAGGGUAUGAUAUGCCACAAACCGCGUGACCUCGGCGUAGCUGGGAAACUUGGAGUGUGGUUGCAUGACUUCCUGAAAGAUAGGAGUCAGGCAGUAGUGUUUAAUGGAGCCACCUCUAUGAACACACAAAUAGUGAGCGGUGUUCCACAGGGCACUGUCUUGGGACCACUGCUUUUUAUAGUGGCCCUCUCAGAUAUGCCCUCAAAUGCCCGGAUAGCAACUCUGGCCAGGUAUGCAGACGAUACGAAAGUCUCGCAGAAAAUACAGAACCCCAGCGAUGUUGCACACCUGCAGCAGGAGUUGGACUCAAUCUAUAGAUGGGCUGAGGAUAAUAAUAUGCAGUUUAAUGCUGAAAAAUUCCAGGCCCUGCGCUACCAGCAUCCAAAACUGAAUAUUAAACUUACAGGAUACACCGGUCCUCAGGGAAUUUCAAUCCCAGAGCCUAAGUCUGAGAGGUACCUGUGUAUCGACAUGAGUGAUGAUAUCUCUUUCCAAGUGCACAUUACCAGGAUGGCGACAAAGUGCAGACGACUGGCUGGGUGGAUCCUAAGAACAUUCAGAACCAGAGAUAAGGAAACCAUGAUGGUCCUCUGGCGGACAUUCGUCCUCAGGCGCCUGGAUUACUGCUAACAGCUAUGGUCACUCACCAGAGUAAAAUUAACAGCGGACCUUGAAGCAAUCCAGAGAAGAUUCACAAAGAAGAUCGUCUCUUUGCAACAGCUCAGCUACUGGGAAAGGUUGAAACAGCUAAGACUCUACUCCCUGGAGAGAAGACGGGAGAGGUAUGCAGUAAUAUAUGUCUGGAAGAUCCUGGAAGAAAUUGUGUCAAAUUUUGGCAUUGUAAGCUACACCAAUGCUAGAACGGGACGACACUGCAUAGUGCCAAAGAUCCCAGCAAUGCCAUCACGCUUCAGGACCAGCUUCUGCAACAGCCUGGGUUUCAAGGGCCGACAGCUUUUUAAUAUUGUUCCAAAGAGUCUGAGAAACUUGCACAAAGUAGAUGUAGCGGUUUUUAAAUCAAAGCUGGACAUCUUUCUGUCAAGAGUGCCAGAUGAACCUACCUCACGGCAAGAGGUGCAAAUGAGAGUAGCUAUAUCAAACUCCAUUCUUCAUCAAGUGCCACAUAUUAGACGAGGUUCGUCGUAAUAAUAGUGUAGCACAAAACGGCGGUGCAUCAGCAUGGCCGCAGCUCUGAGCUGAAACUAGAAAAAACAAAAAACAAAAAACAAUAUAUAUAUAUAUGACUGUGUAUAUGUAUAUUUAUAUAUACAUGCAUUAGAGACACACCCAAUAUCCUAAUUUUUAUCUACCGAUCACUACAGAACACUGAAGAGAUGAAAAUAUCAUGUAGGGUAUUGUGACCACGUGGCAGAAACGGCCGUAUAAACUGUUCUUCUUCUAUUCUAUAAAUUACUGGUACGUAUGCAUGUAAUACGCAGUCUAUGCAUAUGUAUAUAUUCUCAUAAAUGUUUUAGAAUGAAUAAAUAAAUAGACAUAACAGUUGAUGUAUACUAUUUCUGUAUCCCCUCUAUUUUCUUCUUGCCGUAUAAAUUAAGGGUAAACCUCUUUUUACCCUCGCCCAUUUAUUACGCUCAUUAGUGAAAUUGCCACGCAAUAACCAGCACUUGGGUAUUAAUAAUUGGGUACACUAGCAGCAGUAUACUGGAUAGUAACCCAUGAAUAGGUUAGCAUAUGAGGGUGAAAACCUCGUCCCCAUAGCCGUGCUAUUUAUUUGUCGAUAUGUUUUAUUAUCGAAUCUGAAGGUGUUUUCUUCUAGUAACAUGUGUGUGACUUUCGUGAUGAAGUUUUGAAGCGUUUAUUUAUCUGUCGUCUAUGUUUCUCUAUGCAGUGUUUGACUGAUUCCAUCCUUUCCCCAUCCUUUAUUAUUAUUUUUUUUACUCCUCUUUCUUGGUUGUCCUGAAACCUCUCUAUCGAUCUACUUUUACCUCGACUUUGCUUUUUCUUCUCUGACUCUCCAUUUUUUUCAAUAUAUAUAUAUAUAUAUAUAUAUAUAUAUAUAUAUAUAUAUAUAUAUAUAUAUAUAUAUAUAUAAAUUCAGGGUGAAUACUUGAUAAAUGUAAGCACCUGUAUAUGCCAGCUAGUAGCAGAGGUGAGAGGAUAUAUGUAUCAAAUGAAAUAAAAAACAGAACACAAAGGAUGUCGCGCUACACGUGUUUGAAGCUUUAUAAAACAACUUAUUCUUACAUCAAUGUAUAAUCGACAUAACAGAUGGUUUAAAGCUCUCUUUAGCCGCAUGCAAUUGCUAUACCAAAGACCUGUAUCACAUUAUGAAAAGUCCGAAAAGGAACAUUUGGUAUUAUCUAUAAUGGUAGGUAUAUUGAGUUUUCUGAGAAAGUAUAUUUGUAAAUCUUCAUAAUCAAAUAGGUUUGCAGGGUAUUAUUGGACUUCGAAAAUCCGUCCAUACUGUAUCAAAUAUAUAUAUAUAUAUAUUCUCCCCUUCUAAACAAAAUUUUUAAAAAAACAUACAAAUCAUAAAUAAACAACCAAACGUUCUGUUUUGAACAUCUUGAUUUUGAUGUUGUUGUGACAACUUCGUAAACGAACGAAAAGUGCUAAUUUCGGAUUAUCCAAAAUUCUGACUGCCUCCUUUUUCUCCAUAUACAGUAUCUGUACACCACUUCAAACAUUCUACACACACACAUACAUAUAUACGUACGUAUAUGUAUGUGUGUGUAUGUGUUUUAACUAAAAUGGAGGCGAACACCAUUCCUUCAUGUGACUGGCUUGAAAAAUUGUUAAGAUAUUAAAAUAUUUUUCUUAACACGAAACAAAUGAUACCCUUAAUACACAAGUUAAGAAUUUCUAUCCAACAAUACGGUGUUGAGCACUCAUUUUUGAUCGUUCGACACAUAUAUAUAUAUAUAUAUAUAUUUAUGUAUAUAUAUACAUUAAUCAAAGGACACGUUAAAGUGUCUAUCCGCUAGAAAUAAGAGUUAAAACCCUCAUUUGGACCACCCAAAAUUAUUAACACUGAAAGCAGAGGUCCAAAUGAGGAUUUUAACUCUUAUUUCUAGCGGGUAGACAUUUUAAAAUGUCCUUUGAUUAAUCUAAUUUUAAUUCUACAGGUAUAUAAUGCCACUUUAGGCCUACAACAACCUAUACUCAUAUUGUUGUUAUUAUAAACUAUUUGUAUUGACUUCGAUAAUAAUAAAAUUAAUAUCGAUAUAAAUAUUCGUUUAUAUAUAUAUAUAUAUACAUACAUAUACAUAUAUGACCCACUCAGCUGUAAAGUCUAAUCAAAUAAAACGGAAACUUAACAUACAAAGUGUUAAAUACUAGCUGCUUAUCGUGCAUGCAAUUUAUAUUUAGAUUAUACUUUCUUCCGGUAAUUUCAUCAUUUAGAACCGUUAAUCCUUGCAUAUUUUCUCUCUCACUGUUUUCCCCCCCUCUCAAACCUCUCUGGCUAAGAGCGUAUGCUCGAAACUUCUAAGACUUUUCCAUUCCUCCUGAGCGUUAAACUCAUACACUUCCUUGUUUUUCCUUCACCUGUCUUCGUCUUUUGCUUUCUGUAAAUUUGAACAAUAUAUAUAUAUAUAUAUAUAUAUAUAUAUAUAUAUAUAAACAGUAACAACAGACGAAUUGUGGUUCAUUACAGCUGUUUCAGACGCGUUGAAGUGAAGUGUUACAUCAUGCAAAGAAAAUAACAACUACAGGUUAGAAUUAACAAUUAAAACUUCUCAAGAACAUGUAUGUAGUACCAGAAGAUUCUACCGACCCAAACUGAAUAUAUGUUGCAAGUUGAACAGUUGUUUCCGCUAAGUCUCUGAAAUUAUACAUAGAGGCUUUAAAGGAAACAUUCAAAGACUAUGUACCUUUUCUGAAAUUAGUUGUUUUUCAUCAUCUAACUGAAUGCCUACAAGUAUUUUCUACCUCCAUGCAUAGCAACAAGCAACAGGUACUGAUCAGUAAUAUAAUUAAUUGAGAAUUAUUGUGGAAAUUGGUACAAUCUUUUCAAAAAGCGAUAUAGUUUUAGCUGAACCGAUAUUAAAGACAGGUGCGUAAUUUUAAGUGUGUGUGUGUGUAUGCAUUAAGAAAAAAUACGUAGUCAGAAUUUUUGAUAAUUCUAUAUUAACGCUGGAGUCUCAUUCAUCAAAUCCGUUUUCCAGAAAAUGUUUUUGCAUCUUACACAAAUCUGGAGGAGAAGGAUGUUUUGUUUGUUUUGUUGACUAUCUAUCUAUCUAUCUAUCUAUCUAUCUAUCUAUCUAUCUAUCUAUCUAUCUAUCUAUCUAUCUAUCUAUCUAUCUAUCUAUCUAUCUAUCUAUCUAUCUAUCUAUCUAUCUAUCUAUUAAUCUAUUUAUCUAUCUAUCUAUCUAUCUAUAUAUCUAUCUAUCUAUCUAUCUAACUAUCUAUUUAUCGAUGAACACACGCACACACACGCACACAAAUACGCACACACACACACACACAAACACACAAACACACAUAUAUACAACGAAAGUGGUUAUACGCAAUAUAAAACCAAGAACGAAAAAUUCAAUUGUCCCUAAUUGUGACUGGGUGUGCAGUGUAGGCGCUACAUUGCUAGAAAUAAAAGUCAAAUACCCUUAGUGUCCUAUUUUCCUGAACCAUCCAUUGAUUCAUAUAGCAAAUACUACAUACUGACAGUUAGACUUAGCCAACCAAUCCAGCGAUAGAUUAGUCACCAUUGAUGAACUUUAAUUUCAAGCAUAACUAGACUAGUAUGGUGGUCUCACUCGCUGUUGGGUGAUUAUCUCCCCUGCCAGUGCUUAGAUAUGUGUCGUUUGCGGCUCUAAGGGUCUUUGGCAAUUAUACACACACACACGCGCACACACAUGGAAACAGAAGGAGAAAGAGAGAGGAAGAAAUAAAGAAAGAGAGAGAGAGCCAGAUAGACAAACAUAGGGACAGACAGACAGGGAGUUCAUGGUGUGCUUCUAAUUAUCAUUGUGUUUAUAUUAACACAGUUAAUAUAAAUUCAAUGCCUUUGUAGAUCGAAUAUUUCUUACAUCGGAUUAUAGCUCCAGCUUACUCCGUUCCAUUAGGAGAAAUUUCCUGCCUUUUUCCUUGGAAAAUUCUUAGACGAGGCUGGUUGCCUGGUCGGCUGGCUCGCUUGCUGAUGGAGCGGGACGUAGAUGGGUUGCUAUUUAUGAAUCUUGUUCUACAUGUCUUAGGAGUUUGUGUACGUGAUUAUAACAAACGGUCGCAAUUGAUUUGGAUGCUUACGUUUAUCGUCAAGAUUCAAAAAGACCUAUAAUUCAGUUGUUGUUGGCAAUAAUAAAUUUGCUUUCACGACGGUACUUAGAAUUUAGUUCUGAAUUUUUGCUGAAAAUGUCUGCUGAUUUGUAAGGAUGAAGUAUUUUCAUCAUUACAGAAGUUACAGAAAUUUAAACAACGGAUACACUCGUUUGCGGCUAGCAGGAGAGAUCAGGUGAUGCUGCGGUCUUUCAAGUACCUUAUGUUAAGGAUUCUGUAGCCCACAAUCACGUAUUUGAAGUAGGCUACAAUCAUGCACGAGUUUUCAAGUACCAUAUAUGCUGAAUCAUUUCUUUUGUCUGUAUGCCUAAAAGUAGAAUUAUACUUUAUAAACUUGCUUUUGAAGCUACCCUCUGAUAUUCUGACAUAGUGUUGUAGGAGGAUGCUAAGUAGGUUUAUGUUUCAGCAUUACAUACCUAGUUCAAGGGGCACAUAUUAUUAUUUCAAGUAUUGUAGUUAUCUCUUAUGCUUUGUAAGUCAACGGGAUUAUUCAAAUAAUUCUUCGCAGAACUGUUUUUCUGGUUAUUGACCGAGUAGGUGGUUUGGAGUGCCUAUAAACUUUCACCACAACGCAAUGCAAUAAUAUAUAUAAAUAUAUAUAUGAAGGAGGGAAUAAUAUGCCCAAUACAUAAAGGGGGAAGUAGAGCAGAUGCCAAAAACUAUAUGCCUAUCUCUCUGACUUCACACAUCAGCAAAGUCACAGAACGGAUAGUCAGAAAGAAGCUAAUCGCAUUCCUUGAGGAAAAUAACUUGCUGAGUGAUACCCAGCAUGGUUUUCGACCAGAUAGAAGCUGCCUGACCCAGCUCUUACAACAUUAUGACUGGGUGUUGAGGCAGUUAUUCAACAAAUCAAAUGUGGACGUAAUCUAUCUUGAUUUUGCAAAAGCUUUUGACAAGGUGGAUCAUGGUAUGAUAUGCCACAAACUUCGUGACCUCGGCAUAACUGGAAUACUUGGAGUGUGGUUACACGACUUCCUGAAAGAUAGGAGUCAUGCAGUAGUGGUUAAUGAAGCCACCUCUAUGAACACACAAAUAGUGAGCGGUGUUCCUCAGGGCACUGUCUUGGGACCACUGCUUUUUAUAGUUGCCCUCUCAGAUAUGCCCUCAAUUGCCCGGAUAGCAACUCUGGCCAGCUAUGCAGACGAUGCGAAAGUCUCACAGAAAACACUGAACUCCAGCGAUGUUGCACACCUGCAGCAGGAGUUGGACUCAAUCUACAGAUGAGCUGAGGGUAAUAAUAUGCAGUUUAAUGCUGAAAAAUUCCAGGCCCUGCUCUACCAGCAUCCAAAACUGAAUAUUAAACUUACAAGAUACACCGGUCCACAGGGAAUUUCAAUCCCAGAGCCUAAGUCUGUGAGGGACCUGUGUAUCGACAUGAGUGAUGAUACAUCUUUCCAAGUGCACAUUACCAGGAUGGUGACAAAGUGCAGACGACUGGCUGACAUUCGUCCUCAGGCGCUUGGAUUACUGCUCACAGCUAUGGUCACCCACCAGUGUGAAAUUAACUGCGGACCUUGAAUCAAUUCAGAGAAAAUUCACAAAGAAGAUCGUCUCUUUGCAACAGCUCAGCUACUGGGAAAGGUUGAAACAGCUAAGACUCUACUCCCUGGAGAGAAGACGGGAGAGGUAUGCAGUAAUAUAUGUCUGGAAGAUUCUGGAAGGAAUUGUGCCAAAUUUUGGCAUUGUAAGCUACACUAAUGCUAGAACAGGACGACACUGCAUAGUGCCAAAGAUCCCAGCAAUGCCAUCACGCUUCAGGACCAGCUACUACAACAGCCUGGGUUUCAAGGGCCGACAGCUUUUUAAUAUUGUUCCAAAGAGUCUGAGGAACUUGCACAAAGUCGAUGUAGCGGUUUUUAAAUCAAAGCUGGACAUCUUCCUGUCAAGAGUGCCAGAUGAACCUACCUCACAGCAAGAGGUGCAAAUGAGGGUGGCUAUAUUAAACUCCAUUCUUCACCAAGUGCCACAUAUUGGCGGAGGCUCUUAGUAAUAACAGUGUAGCACAAAACGGCGGUGCAUCAGCAUGGCCGCAGCUCUAAGCUGAAACAAGAAAAACGAAAAACGAAAAACGAAAUAUAUAUAUAUAUAUUUCUGGUGCAUUGUAUUUUGUAUUAUUUAUUCUAGGGGCCUUGUAUGUCCAUUUUUUUCGAUUUUCGCCUCUACACUUCCAUACACUGACAAAUUUCUAUUCUUAUAAAUCCUAACUUAUAUUCUUAUUUGUUACAGUCAUACCAAUUUGUAUUUUGCAUUGUUUAUAUGUAGCUAAUACUUAGAUUUCUGAAAUAACACGCGAACUUGGCAACUUAUGUUUAUCAGCUUUUUAAGAGUUCAGUACAGAAAUCACAUGACUAGUGGAAAUAUCAACGGUUGCAGCAUUUUCAUUUUGAUAUCUUUUUGUAUCGAUGGGUGUUUCCAAAUGCAGUUUGAAGUUAUAACAACAAAUUUUUAACUUGUAAUUCCUAUUUUUAUCUCAUUGUUUGAAUGGAAUUAAUUUCUAAUAUUGCUCCUAAGCUACCAAAAUUUGUACCCCACUUUAACAGUUCCGUUACCAAUUAUUGUGGGAUUAUCUUGAUCUCAUAUUCCUGAGAUAAUCGUUGAUUUAAUCUCGUCAAAAUUAACAAAUUAAUCAUACUUCUCUUUUAUAUCACUUUUAAUUAAUUCAUAAAAACUCUCACUUCGUCUGAGCUACCGGCAAUUACAAACAUUAUCAAUGAUUUAACUGACAUCUCUAAUCAUUGUUCCAGGAAUAUUAACACUUCUUCGAAGCAUUCCGGAAAUUUCGUCUUCCCAAUUGUUGCAUAGCUCUUAAACAGAGAAGGGCAAAGGACACAGUUUUGUCUUACACCUGUUCAAUUACCGAGGAAAGUAUUUUCUUUUAUAUAUCAUAGUAUCAUAAAAUUAUGUUGAUAUUUCAUAUUAUAUAUUUUAUAUUCGA